rnacentral:rRNA from 1 species
AAUUUGAGGGGAAAAAUUAAUAAUUUAUAUAGGUAAUAAAAGUAAUUUUAAUUUAAUAAUAAUUUAAUGGGGGUUAAAGUAUUAUUUAAAGAAAAAAUUUGUAAUUUUAUAGUUAAUUAGUAUUGUGAAAGAAUUUUGAAAUAUUUGAAAAUAAAUUUAUUAAAAAGUAAUUUUUAUUUAUUGUAUCUUGUGUAUCAGAGUUUAUUAAAAAUUUUUAAAUUAUUUUUAAUUUCUCGAAUUUAAAAGAGUUAAGUAGUUAAAAAAGUUAUUGUAGCAAAAUUAUUUUAAAUAAUUACUUAGAAAUGAAAUGUUAAUCGUUUUUAAAUAUAUCUAGUUUUUUUAGAAAAAAAUUUAAUUUUAAAUUUAAUUAAUUAUUAUUUUAAAUAAUUAAUUUAGUAAUAAUUAAAUUUUAUAUUUUAAGGGAUAAGCUUUAAAUUAAAUUUUUAUAAUAUAAAAUUUUUAUUUUUGAAAAUUUUAUAAUUUAUAUUGUUAAAAAAUUUUAAUUUAUUAUAAAUAAUUUCAUUUAAUAAUAAAAUUUAAAAAUUUUUAAUAUUUAAUUUUUUAUAAAAAAAUAAUUUUUAAUAAUAAAAAUUUAAUGAUAAUGAUAAAAUUAGUAUAUUUAUUUAUUAAAAGUAAAUUUAAAUUAAUUUAUAUUAAAUAUUAUUAAUUUAGUUAAUUAAAAGGAAUUCGGCAAAUAUUUAUUUUCACUUGUUUAUCAAAAACAUGUCUUUUUGAAAUUUAUUUAAAGUCUAAUCUGCCCACUGAUUUUUAUUAAAGGGCUGCAGUAUUUUGACUGUACAAAGGUAGCAUAAUCAUUAGUCUCUUAAUUGGUGACUUGUAUGAAAGAUUGAAUGAAAAAUAUACUGUCUCUUAAUUAAUUUAUAGAAUUUAAUUUUUUAUUUAAAAAGUUAAAAUAAUUUAAAAAGACGAGAAGACCCUAUAGAGUUUUAUAAAUAUAUUUAUAAAUAAUUAUUUGUAUUAUUAAUAUUUUUAUAAAUUAAUUUAUUUUGUUGGGGUGAUAAAAAAAUAAAUAAAACUUUUUUAAAAAUUUAACAUAGAUAAAUGAUUAAUUGAUCCAAUUUUAUUGAUUAUAAGAUUAAAUUACCUUAGGGAUAACAGCGUAAUUUUUUUUUUUAGUUCAAAUAAGAAAAAAAGUUUGCGACCUCGAUGUUGGAUUAAGAUAAAAUUUAAAUGCAAAAGUUUAAAAUUUUUGAUCUGUUCGAUCAUUAAAAUCUUACAUGAUCUGAGUUCAAACCGGUGUGAGCCAGGUUGGUUUCUAUCUUUUAAUAUAUUAAAUAUUUUAGUACGAAAGGAUCAAAUAUUUUAAUUAAAUUAUUAUUUUAUUAUUGAAUUUUAUUAAUGUAAUUAAAAAUUUAUUUUUUGUUAUUAUUAAGUUUACUAUUUUGGCAAAAAAAUGUAAUGAUUUUAGAAUUCAUAAAUAUAUAAUUUAAUUAUAUAG